rnacentral:rRNA from 2 species
UGGGGAAUAUUGGGCAAUGGGGGGAACCCUGACCCAGCAACGCCGCGUGAAGGAAGAAGGUUUUCGGAUUGUAAACUUCUGUCCUUGGUGAAGAGGAAGAGACGGUAGCCAAGUAGGAAGCCCCGGCUAACUACGUGCCAGCAGCCGCGGUAAGACGUAGGUGGCAAGCGUUGUCCGGAAUCACUGGGCGUAAAGGGCGCGUAGGCGGUAUAUCAAGUCAAUUGUGAAAGACCCGGGCUCAACCCGGGAAGUGCAGUUGAAACUGGUAAACUUGAGUGCAGUAGAGGGAAGCGGAAUUCCUGGUGUAGCGGUGAAAUGCGUAGAGAUCAGGAGGAACACCGGUGGCGAAGGCGGCUUUCUGGGCUGCAACUGACGCUGAGGCGCGAAAGCGUGGGGAGCGAACAGG